CCUGCUCGUCGCCGCCCAUCGCCUUCCCCUCUAGGCCUGCGCCACCCCGGCCCCAAACUCGCUUGCCGCCGCCAUCUUCGGACAGGAUACAUGCGGCGGUGAGGAGGACAAGAAUCCGGUAGAGGAGGGGAAGAAUCUGUCUGAGGAGGUGGACAAGAAUCAACAGAGGAAGGGGAUAAGCUCGCACAUUUUCUGCCAUGUUGCACAAUAUCAUUCAGAGAUCGGACUAAACAUUUGGUAAUUGCGAAGUAUUUCCUGCGUAACCUGCAAUCAAUGUGGUGCACUCCUAGUCUGAUGCUACAACGGUGAGUGUAAGCUAGACAUGUUUUUCUGAACUUGUGUGAGUAUGUGCUUAGGUACCGGUGUUUUUAUCUAUAACACAUAGUUGUGAAUCCUCUGAGAUUGAUUGAUGGUGUUUUCACCCGAGCUACUCUGUCAUGUUUGUUCUGAAUUUGUGGUCCUUGUACUGUUUUUUUCUUGUUCAGUUCUAGCUGAAGGAGUCAGGGUUAGUAGACAGACUUUGCUCAGACGAAAAUGGAACAAAGAAUCUUAGGGGCUGUUUGGAUUGAGCCGGAGCGUGCCCUGCCUUAGGUUGGUAAGGCAGGCGCCGGCGACGAACCAAACGCACCCUUAAUGUUUUUCUACAGUCCAAUCUUGUACUUCUUUUGAUUUACCUCUCAUUAUUUUUGUGCGCUCCAUGAUGCUCUCAGUUUGUUACCAAAUGAAACACUAACUUGCUAAUUUGGUUUUGUAUAAAACACCUCUACUUUGGUUUUGUCAGCUUGGACUGCCAUCAGGUAGGCAUGAAGCAGUGCUGACCUCACCGUCGAAGAAGAGGGGUGCUGGCCACCACUGGCAGCUAGCACUGGCUCGGGGGAGGAGGCCACCCAUGCGCUGGCUGACCACCACGGCGGCCGCAACCACAGAGCACAGAGAUGAUGGGACGCGCUGCACAAGAGACCUGCCUUCAUCGGCGGCGGCACGGACUUUGCCUGGCUGCCUACGCCUGUGUGAACCUUAGCCAAAUUAUAUUCCGUAGCAUUAAAAAAGCUGAUCACAGUACUAGUAUGAGUUAUGUAUCUGAAGUUUAGAUUCUGAAAGACUGUACCAAAUAAUAAUUCAGCUACUUCCUACUAGAUACUGAGUGAAGUGCAACAAAAUGAAUAUAUUUGGAAGACUUUAAUAGUCUGUGCCAAAGCAUGUACACUGAACAAAAUGAAUAUCAUUUCGUGUAUAUAUAAGAUAAGUCUGCAAGCUGCUGAUCAAUGCA